rnacentral:rRNA from 1 species
CUACGGGCGGCUCCAGUGGGGAAUAUUGGACAAUGGGGGAAACCCUGAUCCAGCAAUGCCGCGUGUGUGAAGAAGGCCUGCGGGUUGUAAAGCACUUUCGGUUGGGAGGACUGCUUCUAGCACUAAUAUUGUUGGAAGUUGACGUUACCUUCAGAAGAAGCACCGGCUAACUCCGUGCCAGCAGCCGCGGUAAUAGCGGAGGGUGCAAGCGUUAAUCGGAAUUACUGGGCGUAAAGCGCGCGUAGGCGGCUAGAUCAGUCGGGUGUGAAAGCCCCGGGCUUAACCUGGGAACUGCAUCCGAUACUGUCUAGCUUGAGUACGGGAGAGGAGAGUGGAAUUCCACAUGUAGCGGUGAAAUGCGUAGAUAUGUGGAGGAACACCAAUGGCGAAGGCAGCUCUCUGGCCUGAUACUGACGCUGAGGUGCGAAAGCGUGGGGAGCAAACAGGAUUAGAUACCCCAGUAGUC